rnacentral:rRNA from 1 species
GACGGGUAUAAACCCGGGAAUCUGGGUAUAAUCCCGAUAGAUCUCGGGUCGCUGGAAAGCUCCGAGAUCGAAAGCUCCGGCGCCAGAGGAUGGGUCUGCGGCCUAUCAGGUAGUAGUGGGUGUAGCGUACCUACUAGCCUACGACGGGUACGGGUUGUGAGAGCAAGAGCCCGGAGAUGGAUUCUGAGACACGAAUCCAGGCCCUACGGGGUGCAGCAGGCGCGAAAACUUUACAAUGCCGGCAACGGCGAUAAGGGGACCUCGAGUGCCAGGUUACAAAUCUGGCUGUCGUGAUGCCUAAAAAGCAUUGCAUAGCAAGGGCCGGGCAAGACCGGUGCCAGCCGCCGCGGUAACACCGGCGGCUCGAGUGGUAACCGUUAUUAUUGGGUCUAAAGGGUCUGUAGCCGGCCGGAUAAGUCUCUUGAGAAAUCCAGCAGCUCAACUGUUGGGCUUUCAGGAGAUACUGUCUGGCUCGAGGCCGGGAGAGGUGAGAGGUACUUCAGGGGUAGGGGUGAAAUCUUGUAAUCCUUGAAGGACCACCAGUGGCGAAGGCGUCUCACCAGAACGGACCUGACGGCAAGGGACGAAAGCUAGGGGCACGAACCGGAUUAGAUACCCGGGUAGUCC